rnacentral:rRNA from 1 species
AUUGAACGCUGGCGGCAUGCCUUACACAUGCAAGUCGAACGGCAGCACGGGGCAACCUGGUGGCGAGUGGCGAACGGGUGAGUAAUGCAUCGGAACGUACCUUUCAGUGGGGGAUAACGUAGCGAAAGUUACGCUAAUACUGCAUAUUCUGUGAGCAGGAAAGCAGGGGAUCGCAAGACCUUGCGCUGAUUGAGCGGCCGAUGUCAGAUUAGCUAGUUGGUGAGGUAAAGGCUCACCAAGGGGACGAUCUGUAGCGGGUCUGAGUGGAUGAGCCGCAGCACUGGAACUGAGACACGGUCCAGACUCCUACGGGAGGCAGCAGUGGGGAAUUUUGGACAAUGGGGGCAACCCUGAUCCAGCCAUGCCGCGUGAGUGAAGAAGGCCUUCGGGUUGUAAAGCUCUUUCGGCCGGGAAGAAAUCGCACGGGCUAAUACCCUGUGUGGAUGACGGUACCGGAAUAAGAAGCACCGGCUAACUACGUGCCAGCCGCCGCAGUAAAAC